UUCCUUUUGUGAUUUCUAAGCAUGAUGAUCCGGUUUCCACACUGUUAUGUGAGGUGCACCUUUCUCAAACCUUGUUAGCACAUUACUGCCUGACG
ensembl:snoRNA